rnacentral:sRNA from 2 species
GAUUCCCGAACGUCGCAGUUCAGGGACGAGGACGGGGGACCCACCAGUCCCCGGAAAGCCGCGAGCAGCCGCUCACGGCGAUUUGGAGGACACCGGCCGGUCCCGCACCGGCCUCGGGGUGAAGCCAGACCCUCUCCCGCCAGGAGAGGUGAGGCCGAGCAGCCUCUCAGCUCGAACCCGACAGCUGACCUCGCAGGCGCGUGUGGAGAGGAUCU